rnacentral:tRNA from 1 species
GGAGGAAUACCCAAGUCCGGCUGAAGGGAUCGGUCUUGAAAACCNCGGCUGAAGGGAUCGGUCUUGAAAACCGACAGGCGGGUUAAACCGCGCGGGGGUUCGAAUCCCUCUUCCUCCG